CAGACACUCUGGCACGUCUCAGUCCUUCCAAACUCUUCUAACCCUCCCUUGAAUCAAAAGUGCUAAUGCACGCCCCUGCCACAUGAUGCAGCCUGUAGGGGUGGCAUGUUUUAGAGUCUCAGAAAAGGCAGUGCAGAACUAGCACUGUGUUAGCGUUCCAGUGCUUACUAGCUGCCAUACACCGUGAGUGUCAAAUACCCAGCAGUUGGGGAUGUUUGCGGGGGCCAUUUUGUAAACCAGAGAAACACAAUGAAUAUGCAGAGGAAAGCAAGAGGCUUACAGCCAUAUGCCCAGCUGCUAUGCUCCUUCCCCUUUAAAUGUUUGACUGCCCCUUGUCCUUGAACUAGACAGGGCUGAAUGUCCUGCAUGUUGGUUAAGGAGCAACUGGGGACAAUACCUUCCUGCUGAUCAGACUUUUCUCACAGUAACGCUGAAUCUGUGGGAGGAAGACAGAGCAUGUGUUAAUACUCAGAAUCCUCUUCCCCAUCCUGCAGCCACCCCUGCUGGUCUACUAUCCCUUCCCCACUGCCAUCUCUCCUCCAAUAGUGAUGCUGGGAGAGGAGUAUACAGUGUAAUAUUAAUGGCCUAACGUGCACUGUACUUUAUUACAAUUGCAGCUAAAUGUCUUGCUAGGUUCCAGAAUAAGCGUGUUCUUCAAACCCAGUGACCUAAGAGCUCCUUAAUGCCAACUAGCAAAGAGCACACCCAACUCACUGUUGUCAGAAUAUUUAGCCAAACAGUGAGGUAUUGCAAUGGGGUAGACUAGGCCCUGCAUCCUACCCCUGCUGAAGGCCUUGCAGCCCUGCCCCAGAAAAAGGCAGUGGAAUCCUCCAAGCUGCCUAGAGUGGCGGUGUGGGAUGUAGCCAAUCACAGAAGGUCUGCAGGGAGCAGCCAAUCCAGGCCCAGCAGGUCCACAUAAAAGGAGCUGCAGAGGUCAGUUCCGUUCCUUCCUGGAGCUGGAGGAGUGUGGACAGUGCACCUGGCAGUCUGCGGGAGCUACAGGACCUCAGACAGAGCAGUGCUGGCAGAGACUGGGGGAAGUGAGAAGGAGCUCCAGGCUGGCGGCUGGGACUCAACCAGGACAAGGCCCUGAGGAUAGCUCCACAUCAUACGACAAAAGUUCUGUAGCAUCCCUGCAAGUGGACACCUAUGUUACUUUUGUACAGGAGGUGGCAGAUGGGUAGGUGCAUAGAAACACUAACACAGUAUUCAUCAUGCUGCAGAGACUAAAGGAGUGCAAAGCACCUUCUCACGCAGGCACUAAGUGACCUUUGUAGACGCAGGCAGGUGAAGUGGGACAGUUCUCCCUCAAGCCACCAGCAGACAAACCAAGCCAAGAAGACAACUAGAACACAAAGGGUCAAAAGCCUGGGAGAGACAUGAAAAACUAAACUGGAGCUUAUGACACAACAUGUGGCUGCCAAAGAAGAAAGUAGAGGGAAAACUGGUAAAGAAUUUAAGAGAACGAGAAAAAGCCACACAUGCUAAAAUAUCACCCUGGCUGUCUAAUACCAACCCUAAGAACCAGGCUUACAAAGGUUCUAAACAGAGCUAGUAAACCAGCACUCUCCUUUCAGUUGUGAGAGCAUUAGUGCAAAUAGCCUUCUGCAUGGGAAAAGCAGGACAAGGCCCUGCAGAUGAGAGAGAAAUAAGCUCUGGCUUCUCCUCUGCUUGCAGCUGUGAAGCUGUUCCUCUCUGGGAUCCUCACCUGUAUCGUUCCAUGUACUGCAGCAGCUGGGAGUGGGCACAGCACAGCUACAAUAGAAACAUAGCUGGUAUUAACAACUCCAUAAAUACUGGGUUCCAUUACAGGUGGCAAUCUACUAGAUACAGAACACAAGAGUGGUUAACAAAGCAGUGACUUCCAGCCCGACUCACCUGA